GACGAACGCUGGCGGCGUGCCUAAUACAUGCAAGUAGAACGCACAGUUUAUACCGUAGCUUGCUACACCAUAGACUGUGAGUUGCGAACGGGUGAGUAACGCGUAGGUAACCUGCCUGGUAGCAGGGGAUAACUAUUGGAAACGAUAGCUAAUACCGCAUAAUAUUGAUUAUUGCAUGAUAAUUGAUUGAAAGAUGCUAUUGCAUCACUACCAGAUGGACCUGCGUUGUAUUAGCUAGUAGGUGAGGUAACGGCUCACCUAGGCGACGAUACAUAGCCGACCUGAGAGGGUGAUCGGCCACACUGGGACUGAGACACGGCCCAGACUCCUACGGGAGGCAGCAGUAGGGAAUCUUCGGCAAUGGACGAAAGUCUGACCGAGCAACGCCGCGUGAGUGAAGAAGGUUUUCGGAUCGUAAAGCUCUGUUGUAAGAGAAGAACGGGUGUGAGAGUGGAAAGUUCACACUGUGACGGUAUCUUACCAGAAAGGGACGGCUAACUACGUG
rnacentral:rRNA from 1 species